rnacentral:rRNA from 1 species
AAAGAAAGCGUAAUAGCUCACUGGUCGAGUCGGCCUGCGCGGAAGAUGUAACGGGGCUAAACCAUGCACCGAAGCUGCGGCAGCGACGCUUAUGCGUUGUUGGGUAGGGGAGCGUUCUGUAAGCCUGUGAAGGUGGCCUGUGAGGGUUGCUGGAGGUAUCAGAAGUGCGAAUGCUGACAUAAGUAACGAUAAAGCGGGUGAAAAGCCCGCUCGCCGGAAGACCAA